UACGGAGGGUGCAAGCGUUGUCCGGAUUUAUUGGGUUUAAAGGGUGCGUAGGCGGCUAAUUAAGUCAGUGGUGAAAGCCUGUAGCUCAACUAUAGAAUUGCCAUUGAUACUGGUUAGCUUGAGUUCGGUUGAGGUAAGCGGAAUGGAUAGUGUAGCGGUGAAAUGCAUAGAUAUUAUCCAGAACACCGAUAGCGAAGGCAGCUUACUGGGCCGAUACUGACGCUGAGGCACGAAAGCAUGGGGAGCGAACAGG
rnacentral:rRNA from 1 species